AUUGAACGCUGGCGGCAUGCUUAAUACAUGCAAGUCGAGGGGCAGCAUGAAUGUAGCAAUACAUUUGAUGGCGACCGGCAAACGGGUGCGGAACACGUACACAACCUUCCUAUAAGUGGGGAAUAGCCCAGAGAAAUUUGGAUUAAUACCCCGUAACAUAAUGAUGUGGCAUCACAUUAUUAUUAUAGCUUCGGCGCUUAUUGAUGGGUGUGCGGCUGAUUAGAUAGUUGGCGGGGUAACGGCCCACCAAGUCUACGAUCAGUAGCUGAUGUGAGAGCAUGAUCAGCCACACGGGCACUGAGACACGGGUCCGACUCCUACGGGAGGCAGCAGUAAGGAAUAUUGGUCAAUGGACGCAAGUCUGAACCAGCCAUGCCGCGUGAAGGAUUAAGGUCCUCUGGAUUGUAAACUUCUUUUAUCUGGGACGAAAAAAGACUAUUCUUAGUCACUUGACGGUACCAGAUGAAUAAGCACCGGCUAACUCCGUGCCAGCCGCCGCGGUAACAC
rnacentral:rRNA from 1 species